GAUGAACGCUGGCGGCGUGCCUAAUACAUGCAAGUCGAGCGAACGGACGAGAAGCUUGCUUCUCUGAUGUUAGCGGCGGACGGGUGAGUAACACGUGGAUAACCUACCUAUAAGACUGGGAUAACUUCGGGAAACCGGAGCUAAUACCGGAUAAUAUUUUGAACCGCAUGGUUCAAAUGUGAAAGACGGUCUUGCUGUCACUUAUAGCUGGAUCCGCGCUGCAUUAGCUAGUUGGUAAGGUAACGGCUUACCAAGGCAACGAUGCAUAGCCGACCUGAGAGGGUGAUCGGCCACACUGGAACUGAGACACGGUCCAGACGCCUACGGGAGGCAGAAGUAGGGAAUCUUCCGCAAUGGGCGAAAGCCUGACGGAGCAACGCCGCGUGAGUGAUGAAGGUCUUCGGAUAGUAAAAAUCUGUUAGUAGGGAAGAACAGAUGUGGAAGUAACUGUGCACAUCUUGACGGUACCUAAUCAGAAAGCCACGGCUAACUACGUG
rnacentral:rRNA from 1 species